AUUGAACGCUGGCGGCAGGCUUAACACAUGCAAGUCGAGCGGGGUGAUGGUGCUUGCACUAUCACUUAGCGGCGGACGGGUGAGUAAUGCUUAGGAAUCUGCCUAUUAGUGGGGGACAACAUCUCGAAAGGGAUGCUAAUACCGCAUACGUCCUACGGGAGAAAGCAGGGGAUCACUUGUGACCUUGCGCUAAUGGAUGAGCCUAAGUCGGAUUAGCUAGUUGGUGGGGUAAAGGCCUACCAAGGCGACGAUCUGUAGCGGGUCUGAGAGGAUGAUCCGGCAAACUGAGACUGGGACACGGCCCAGACUCCUACGGGAGGCAGCAGUGGGGAAUAUUGGACAAUGGGGGGAACCCUGAUCCAGCCAUGCCGCGUGUGUGAAGAAGGCCUUAUGGUUGUAAAGCACUUUAAGCGAGGAGGAGGCUCUUUUGGUUAAUACCCAAGAUGAGUGGACGUUACUCGCAGAAUAAGCACCGGCUAACUCUGUGCCAGCAGCCGCAGUAA
rnacentral:rRNA from 1 species